rnacentral:lncRNA from 1 species
GUGGGGAAACCAAGGCCGCGGGAGCCUCAGGGACUUGCUGAAAUCGCCCAGAAUUGGCAAAGGCAAGCAGAACUGGAACUCAGGCGUCCCUCCUCCCGGUCCUCCGCUCCUUCCCCGAAAGAGGCAGGCGCGGUUGGUAGGGCGUGUCUGCGCAGGGGACUGGCGGUGAGGGUGCCAGAGGGCGCUGGGAGACAGCCUGGGGCGACUCCGGCCUCUUCCCUUUCUGGGCCACCCGGGCCGCACUUCCUGCAGAGGCCGGGGAGGGGGGGCGCGGAGCUGGCCCCUCCCGGUGCCGCCUCCCCGCCUCUCCCACGCCCGCAGGCCAGAGGCCAAGGGUUAGGGAGGCGGCACCGGUGCUCGGCUCCGCUCCGGCCCCGAGAUCCGCCCGGGACCGGGACCGGGCUGGGGCCCGGGCGGGGCGGAGGGUGCAGCGGGGAGCAGGCUCGGAAGCCCGCACCCCGGGGUCGGGAGGGGCGUGGCCAGGGCCGGGGGCGCGACCCACGCAGGCAGGUGGGCGGGGCCGAGCCCGGGGGCGGGGCCGAGCCCGGGGGCGGGGCCUGGCGGGGCGGGGCCUGGCGGGGGCGGGGCCGCAGGGAACUCGAGCGCCGGCCCCGCCGCACGCCCCGCCCCCGGCCCCCGCCUCCGGGUCCCGCCUUCGAGUCCCUUCCUUCCCGGCGCUGGCAGGCGGGCCGCGGCGGCUGCAGGCGGCGGACGGGCGGGCCGGCGGACGGGCGGGCGCCUCCACCUCGCUCGCUCCCUCGCCGCCGGCUUCCUUUUGUCUUUCUGGGAGGCGAUGAGCGCAGGGCCGGCGCGGAGGCUGCGGGCGCUCGGAGGCCCGCGCUCCUAGCCACCCCUCCCGGCCUCGGCGCGCUCGUCCCGGGCAGCGGCCCGCGCCCGCCCCAGCGCCAGCCGCGCCGAACUUGGGCUCGGGAAGCCGGCGGACCGCGUCCUGCGCCGGAGCAGGGCACUGGUGCGGUUCCAUUUGUGCCUUUCUCUGAGAGAAAGUGGGGAUGCCGGUGGUGCAGAGGGGCGCAGGGGGGCCAAGGCUGGCCUCCCCUGUUCUUUCUCAGCAGUGCUGCGGACGACGUGGUCAGACUCAGCAGAGGCCAGACAGGGAAGGAACCCUCACCCCGGGAUUGCCGGUGGGUAGAAGGGGACAGACCCACACGUGCCCAUGUGUCUUGUUCAGGACCAGCCUUUGGAGGAAGAGUUCCCUCAUCCCCAAAUGCUAACUUUGUCUGCCUGGCCCCCCACCACACACCACCCUUUGUGACUUCUAUUUUUUUUUUUUUUUAA